GACGAACGCUGGCGGCGUGCUUAACACAUGCAAGUCGAACGGAAAGGCUCCAGCUUGCUGGAGUACUCGAGUGGCGAACGGGUGAGUAACACGUGGGUGAUCUGCCCUGCACUUCGGGAUAAGCCUGGGAAACUGGGUCUAAUACCGGAUAGGACCGCACUUUGGUGUGUGUGGUGGAAAGGUUUUUCUGGUGUGGGAUGAGCUCGCGGCCUAUCAGUUUGUUGGUGGGGUAAUGGCCUACCAAGACGGCGACGGGUAGCCGGCCUGAGAGGGUGGACGGUCACAUUGGGACUGAGAUACGGCCCAGACUCCUACGGGAGGCAGCAGGGGGGAAUAUUGCACAAUGGGGGAAACCCUGAUGCAGCGACGCCGCGUGGGGGAUGAAGGCCUUCGGGUUGUAAACUCCUUUCGCUAGGGACGAAGCUUUUUGUGACGGUACCUGGAGAAGAAGCACCGGCUAACUACGUG
rnacentral:rRNA from 1 species